rnacentral:rRNA from 1 species
AAUAGAUACCCUGGUAGUCCACGCCGUAAACUAUGGAUGCUAGCUGUUAUGAGUAUCGACCCUCGUAGUAGCGAAGCUAACGCGUUAAGCAUCCCGCCUGUGGAGUACGAGCGCAAGCUUAAAACAUAAAGGAAUUGACGGGGACCCGCACAAGCGGUGGAGCGUGUUGUUUAAUUCGAUGAUAAGCGUAGAACCUUACCAAGGCUUGACAUCCCUGGAAGGUCUCCGAAAGGAGACUGUGCCUUCGGGAAUCAGGUGACAGGUGCUGCAUGGCCGUCGUCAGCUCGUGUCGUGAGAUGUUUGGUUAAGUCCAUCAACGAGCGCAACCCUUAUAAAUAGUUGAAUUUUUCUAUUUAGACCGCCUCGGUAACGGGGAGGAAGGAGGGGAUGACGUCAGGUCAGUAUUGCCCUUAUGCCUUGGGCUACAAACACGCUACGAUGGCCGGUACAAAGGGCUGCCAACCCGCGAGGGGAGCAAAUCCCAUCAAAACCGGGUCCCAGUUCGGAUAGCAGGCUGAAACUCGCCUGCUUGAAGUCGGAAUCG